rfam:Myotis davidii contig102276, whole genome shotgun sequence.
CUGCAAGCCUCCAGCAUGCUUGGGUCUGGGGUGACCCUGUGCAUUCCUACAGUGCUUGCUAGGACAUUUUGGAAUGGUUUGAGGCCUUGCCCUGCUGCUUCUGGAGCAAGGUUAUAGAAAUUUCAGACAGUC